UCAAUAUUACAUUUUUCUGGUAUUUGACUUCUUGAUGCCUCUCAUAAAGUUUGUACAAUUUUUUUCAUUUGACAACUCUUUUACUUUUGUGGGAUGGCAAUUUCUGAUAAGCCUUGUUUAAUUCAUAAUCUUUUUGUACUUUAUCUAGGGUUUUGUCCACUGAACCACUGGUGGGGAUGGCAGCACCUACCCCUGCACAGAGACCCCGAAUAGACCUGCCCGGACCAUUAUUAGAAGAGUGGACAGCACUGUGCACCUGACCGGAGAAGUUCCUCGUAAAUGUUACAUUGCGAGGCAGAGAUCGUCGCAGGGUUCGAUUAAAGCUCUCGACCUUCUGAGAGUUGCUGUUUUUGAUCGUCUUGGCCAGGACAGCUGGAGACAAUCUUUUUGAGAUACAAGCAUGGAGCAAGUUCUCAUUCUCGGCCGAACAGGAAGCCCAUCCUGAUUGAGGGAAUGCGCCGCUCGGGUCAGUGGUUACCUCCUGUACCUCGAGGCCAGUCUCACUGAGGAGUUCUGCCAUUCCCUCCUUAGCCCAGGUGAACUCAUCCCCUAUGGUGUGAUGCAUUGGAAGGUUUGCCCCACAUACCCCAGGACUACAACAGUGGUCAACAGUGCCCUCAUCAAGGACUUGCGUGAAGGGGGAGGGGUGUUGGUUGAAAGUAGAAUUUUCCUCAACCCAUCAUUUCCUAAAGGGGUUUGACUUAGGCCAACUUGUAAACCGUAGUUUACAGUGGCAGCCUUUCUCCCUGGGGAUUUGGUCUCUACCUCCUCAUACAAAUUGUACAGGCCAGACAGGAACGGACACUCGGAGCAUGUCAUCCUCAUCCGGGUGGCAAGGCCACACCUCUCCUCAGUGUCUAGAUCCCAAGUCAGGAUACCCCGACAGUCUGGACUUCCUUGCUGGUGGAGGCGGAACACCUCGUUAAACAUGGCCACUGUCUUGCCGAGAUGUAGCAGCCUGUGCGAGUCCUGGUUUACCCUAAGAAGAGUCAGAGAACUUCCUGGGCGUAACAAAUGGUGGCACCAUGGCCGCGGGAGCAUUUCCUGUUUUUCUGAAGCUGAAGGAGGGUCCUUCACUAACUGAUCCAUUUCAGGAGGCAGUCUUUCAUAUGGAGCAGUCAAAAAUCAGAUCCAAAUAUCAUCAGAAUUGUCAGAGUCUUUCACUCCUGGUAAUGUCAAUGUCCAUAGAUGGUGCAGCUCAUUCACAUGGUGACAGAUCUCAUGACACAGAAAUUCCAGAACUCAAAUUUCCUACAUGUGCACAGGAUGUUGUCCACUAAGCUAAUGGUGGGGAUCGUAGCAGCUACCCUGCACACAGACAUUGAAUGGAGCUGUCUGGUCCAUUAUCAGAAGAGUGCGUCCGAUCAGAGAAGUUUCUUGAGGAGCAUCACGAGGGACUUGUGUGAAUGGGCAGAAGACAUUUUCUUAACUCACCACUCCAUCAUUGCCUGAUGUUUGAGACUGAACACUUUAUUGAAAAUUGAUGGGAUGUAGCAAUCAAUGGGUGUCAUCAUUUGCCCUGAGAAGACUAAGAGAACUCCCUGGUCCUCAUGAGAUGGUGACACCCUGCAGUAGGAGCAGUUCUUACCGGUAUCUCUUAAAAGAAGACAAAGGUUUUCUUAGCAUCUGAUCCAAUUCUGGAGACAAACUUUUGAAUGGUGCUGGGUAGCAGUUACUCGAGAUGUCUGGCUGAUUGACGAAGAUAAUUGCCCUGCGCCUGACAUUCUUGUAGGACUUGGAUAGCUCUAUCACUGUAAAAAAUGUCAGGACGGUGGAGAUUUAGAUAAGUGGUGUGACAUUAUUGAUGGUAAACAGAAGACUGUGACCUUGAAUCUGAAGACCUGUGAUGAAGACUGGACGUUUGGAGUCACUCUCUGUUACAGUACUACAAAUCUAACAGUGAAACACUCAGCCACAAAGAGGUUGUCUCUGAUGUCCACACAUAAACCCCGUGGAGCGCGUAAAUCACAGUGAAUGUAACGGAGGAACUGUCCGUCCUGAUCUAGGAUGUGGAUACGGUCAUUGUAAUAGUCUGCUGUCAGGAUGUGACUCUGGCUGUCUGUAGUGAUGCCGUGUGGAUUAAAUGAUUGCUUGGUAUUAGAGGGAUGACCAGUGUAUCUAAAUCGGAGUUUUCCUGACUGAUUGACCACCACUACUGCACUAGCUGACCAGUCAGCCACACAGAUAUCCAGGUUCCUGUUCUCACUGAGGUAUUUAGUGUUAUUAUAAACACCAGAUGAGUAGAGAGGACGACCCUGAUCAUCAAACUGAAUGCUUUGUUUCUCUGUGGAGCCGGAGUAACGCACGACUUUGGAUUGUUUUCUAUCAUCACUGAUCAUGAUAACCAGGAGAUCGUUAUCCGCGGUACAGCAGACAUAGAGAGGUUCCCACCCCUGUAGUGUGAUCACGAAUGAGUUGAGUGGGAAAAUGAGCCUCCAGAUGUAUAUGUACAUGUGUAUAUUAUAAUUAAACUUCUGUUGCACUCACGCAUGCGAGGUUACUCUACA